CCUGCUCAAUGAAUUUUAAAUAGCCGCUUUAAAUAGUGCUAAGGUAGCAUAAUCAUUAGUCUCCUCAUUAGAGAAUAGAAUGAAAGGGAUUACGAGUAAGAAACUUUAUUUAAAUUAAUAAUUUAAAUUUAUAUAAAAGUAAAAAAGCUUUUAUAUUAAGAACAGACGACAAGACCCUUUAGAACUUAACUAAAAGUUAAACUGGGGUGGUUAUCUAUAAAAACUAAAAUAAAAUAUUUAUUGAUCUUUAAACAUAACAUUAAAAGUUACCUAAGGGAUAACAGCAUAAUAUAAUUUAUAAGAACAUAUUAAUAAUUAUGAUUAUGACCUCGAUGUUGAAUUACCAAACUUAAAAUAGAAAAUUAUUUUAAAGUAAGUCUGUUCGACUUUUAAUAAAGUACAU
rnacentral:rRNA from 1 species